UACGAAGGGGGCGAGCGUUGUUCGGAUUUACUGGGCGUAAAGGGCGCGCAGGCGGCUCUACAAGUCAGACGUGAAAGCCCCGGGCUUAACCUGGGAACUGCGUUUGGGACUGUGGGGCUAGAGAUCGGGAGAGGAGAGUGGAAUUCCCAGUGUAGCGGUGAAAUGCGUAGAUAUUGGGAGGAACACCAGUGGCGAAGGCGGCUCACUGGACCGGAACUGACGCUGAGGCGCGAAAGCGUGGGGAGCAAACGGG
rnacentral:rRNA from 1 species